rnacentral:rRNA from 1 species
UACGUAGGGGGCGAGCGUUGUCCGGAUUUAUUGGGCGUAAAGAGCUCGUAGGCGGCUUGUCGCGUCGACUGUGAAAACCCGCGGCUCAACUGCGGGCCUGCAGCCGAUACGGGCAGGCUAGAGUUCGGUAGGGGAGACUGGAAUUCCUGGUGUAGCGGUGAAAUGCGCAGAUAUCGGGAAGAACACCCGUGGCGAAGGCGGCUCUCUGGGACGGUACUGACGCUGAGACGCGAAAGCGUGGGGAGCGAACAGG